CUCGGGAACAGCCCCCGUGCUACAUGUUGUUUCUUGCGCUGGAUCUCCCAGGUGGAUCCCGGACAGGAUGCUGCAGGUGGUGCAGGAAGGCAAUCUUGCCCCAUUUGUCAUCAACACAAUGAAAAGGGGUCGAAGAGACCGAGAGCGCCAGAGGACGCCACGGGCUCCACAUCCGCUUGGACUCCAGGAAGUAAGCCUCUAGACUUCAGGAAUAAGCAAGUCCAACCGUUUGGUUUGAGCCUGUUGCUUCCAAGAAAAGCGUGGAAAAAUCCUGAGACCUCCUCCCCUUGCCCUUCGUCCAUUUCAGGGGACCGAGUGUCUCCACGGAACUUCACAAGGGAGGCAAAGAGUGCGCUCAUUAUUAUUUGUCUUGUCUUCGUUUCAGAGGCGAUACAUCUGCGAAAGCCCUAAUCAUAGAGGGAAAGACUGCUCGUUCCUGGCCCAGAAAUGAGAUGAGAAAUCCAGGGCCCCGUACGGGAAGGACUUUUGCAAAGUCUGGACUCAACUGCCUUCGCAGCCCUUGAAGUCUCUUUAGGAAGGGCUGUGGGAGAACGAGGUUGGUUUAGGAGUUGGCCCCUGCCUUGUACUACGUAGUUUUGUCAUCCAAAGUGUUUUAGAAGUGAAUUAAAUCAUAUUUCCAUCUUAUUUUGAAACACUAUAGUUCGGAUAACUUAAAACCUUAUUAAUAGUCCUCAUAAUCACGUUGGUAGAGUCCUUGCUUAAACCAUAAAGACAGUUGCCUCCUUAGCGCAGUAGGCAGCGCGUCAGUCUCAUAAUCUGAAGGUCCUGAGUUCGAACCUCAGAGGGGGCAACGCAUCUGUUUUGCCAUUUUUCUUCCUCUUGACCCAAAAUGAGUAAGACAACGAAGGAAGUUGGCAAAUCCUUGUUCUUACUCCGCUUUCUCUGUAGAAAAGAGUACAAUAUGUCUGGUAAGGAAAAAAGAAAAAAUCUAAGGAAAUUGCUUUGAUGGAACAGAACGGUUAAUUGCUGCUUAAUAGAACCAUGUUCCGUUACAAAACAGUGAUUUUCAUUAAGAAUUUAAUUCUCCAAAAUUCUUCUCAUCUCCCCUCCCUCCCUGCAUACCAAUUGGAGAUAGAGCUGGUAGCAUUUUCAAAUGUUUUUCAGAUAUGCUUGGCGUUUGUCUUUGUUUUAAAAACACCAGAGUCAAGAAACUUACCAGUUUUAG
rnacentral:tRNA from 1 species